rnacentral:rRNA from 1 species
GAGUAGUAAUUGGUAUAAUCUUGAAACUCAAAUAAUUUGGCGGUAUUUUAUCUAAUCAGAGGAACCUGUCAAUUAAUUGAUAAUCCACCGCUUAUUAGUCUUAAGUAUUUUACUUGUAUACCGCCGUCAUGAAUGUACUAAAAAGUUUAUUUUUAAAUUUUAUUAAUUGCAUGUUAGGUCAAGGUGCAGUUUUUUAAGAAAAAGAUGGGUUACAUUUAGUAUAAUGAAUGUGAAAAAGGAUUUGAUAGUAAAUUAAUAAAGAAAUUUAGUGAAUUAAGAUUCUAAAAUAUG